UCCUGUGCCACUCCUGAACCCAUGCCAAUUUCUUCAUGCCUAAUUAGAUUUGGGUUAUGAUUUUUGGCAUCAUGAUAGAGGGUCCAAUAAAAGUGGAUAGCAAUAGCUGAUGAGUCAUAAUAUUAUCUCUUGCCUAAUUCGAAUGCGAUCCAAAUUAGAGAUAAAAGGUAAACUAAGAAAGAGAUUUUUCAUAUAUAGAAUAUUAUUGGCAUCAUAUUAAUUUUUUUUCUUAUUUUUAUUAGAGAAUUCUUUGGUAUGUGAGACUCUAAAAUCCUUCCCC
rnacentral:lncRNA from 1 species